AGCGAACGCUGGCGGCAGGCCUAACACAUGCAAGUCGAACGAACCUUUCGGGGUUAGUGGCGGACGGGUGAGUAACACGUUGGAAAGUGCCUUUAGGUUCGGAAUAACUCAGGGAAACAUGUGCGAAUACCGAAGGUGCCCUUCGGGGGAGAGAUUGAUCGCCUUUAGGGCGGCCCGCGUCUGAUUAGCUAGUUGGUUGAGGUAGUGGCUCACCAAGGCGUCGGUCAGUAGCUGGUCUGGGAGGAUGAUCAGCCACAUUGGGACUGAGACACGGCCCAAGCUCCUACGGGAGGCAGCAGUGGGGAAUCUUGCGGAAUGGGCGAAAGCCUGACGCAGCCAUGCCGCGUGAAUGAUGAAGGCCUUAGGAUUGUAAAAUUCUUUCACCGGGGAUGAUAAUGACGGUACCCGGAGAAGAAGCCCCGGCUAACUUCGUG
rnacentral:rRNA from 1 species